ensembl:misc_RNA Gm56429 predicted gene, 27389
GGGAAGGGAGGAGUGGAAGCUGGUUUGCUGGGGCCACCCAGGGUGGGCUCAGGAAGGGAAGGAAUGUGAUUGAGGCUGGGUGGGGCUAGGGAGAGCACAGCCAGUUGUGGGUUUUUCUUGGGGCCCAGAAGAUGUGAAUGGAUAUGGAAGCCCCUCUCUGCCAGUCCCAGCAUACACACACUAGGAUCAUUCUUUG